rnacentral:misc_RNA from 1 species
AGCAGCCGCGGUAAUUCCAGCUCCAAUAGCGUAUAUUAAAGUUGUUGCAGUUAAAAAGCUCGUAGUUGAAUUUCGGGGUUAGCAGGUCGGUCGUGCCAUCGGUAUGAACUGGUCUCGCUGAUCCCUCCCUCUUGACGAACUGUGAUGCCAUUAAUUUGGUGUCGCAGGGAAUCAGGACUGUUACUUUGAAAAAUUAGAGUGUUUAAAGCAGGCUCACGCUUGAAUACAUUAGCAUGGAAUAAUGAAAUAGGACGUUUGAUCCUAUUUUGUUGGCUUCUAGGAUUGACGUAAUGAUUAAUAGGGAUAGUUGGGGGCAUUAGUAUUCAAUUGUCAGAGGUGAAAUUCUUGGAUUUAUUGAAGACUAACUACUGCGAAAGCAUUUGCCAAGGAUGUUUUCAUUAAUCAAGAACGAAAGUUAGGGGAUCGAAGACGAUCAGAUACCGUCGUAGUCUUAACCAUAAACCUAUGCCGACUAGGGAUCGGAUGAUGUUAAUUUUUAAUGACUC